UUUACUUUUUUUUGAUCCUGGCUGCAGCCUAAUGUCUGCUGUUUCCUGCUCUUUCUUCUCCUUGAGUUAACAAGAGGCUGACAAUCAGGAUUUCCCUGUCUCCGAACCAUCAGCGCUCAUCACCAGUGGACUAUGGGGUUCUAGUCCUCUCAUAGAGCUUCUAAAACCCUUGGAAUUUCUAGAUUGAUGUAGAACUCUUGGCUCUGUCUCCACCAUGUCUGCUUCGAUGGUCUCAUGCUUCCUGCCAUGAUGAUAAUGGACUGAACCUCUGACCCUACCUUUCGCUUAUUUAGCCUUCAUGGAAAAGGGAAAGCAAUGUCGACCAACUUCCAUAAAGGUUAGUCUAACUGCAGUGUGUUGUUUUGUUACGGGCUAAGAGGCUAGGUCUCCUGGAGGCAGUACAUAAAGAAUUUUUACCUUACUUCUAGGGGGGAAAUCUUGAGGGCUAGUGUAUCUAAGAUCAAGAAAGGUGCAGACAGUUUGCAGGAAUAGACUUAAUGCUUUUUUUAGUAAGAUAUUGAGCCCAAAACAUGCUGUUUAAAUCCUUGUUUUGUCUUGAACUCCGACAUGGCAUGGACAGCCAUAUUUGGUAAUUUACUUAGGACAGUGUUAUAUUCUGAGUUGUUUCAGAAUUCUGUUAUUUUUUUAUUUUAUUUUUCUCGUAUUUUGAGAUAGUCAGGAUUUUUUUUUCAUUCCCUGACAUUCUAGUGAUAUGAAUACUUUCCCUAAGACUGUUUUCCAUUCUGUGUAAAGCCUGGCCUGGCUUUUGUCUAGGAAUGACAGCCCACUGCAGCCCUUGCCAAGCGAGGGAGAAGUGUGACUAAUUUUAUGCCCCUGGGAGGAAGCACAGAGAGAAACACUUGGGUGAGGGAGGGGACAGUGUGUAGUAUGUUUGCAAGAUCUUUGGUCUCUGCAUUUCUUUAAAACUCGCAAUGUCGCUGCUGGGAAACAGACAUCACACUCCCUGGUUCAUCCACUGGAAAGUGAGAUAGCCAGUGAAUCGAAUGAAGUCCCAAGAGAGAACACAAGGUCCCAGCACUAAUGGGAAUGAGGGGGUAGAUGGAAGUUUGCCCCCCAGCACUCCUGCUACACACUAUGGGCAAAGGCAUCCUCCUCUUGGAGUGAAGGUGAAUGACAGGUUGCUUUAUGAUGUGGAGGGCCAUGAACACUUUUUCAUGGUGGAUAACAAAGGCCUGCUCUUCAUGGUAAACAUGACUCCAGUCCAGGCUCUGACUUUGUGCCUUGACUCCUCUCCUUCUCAGCAUCAGCUCCUUCAUGAGUGUAAAGACACCAUCGUACCUACCUCAGGUUGGAAUAGAUGCUCAUCUAUUGUCUGUUCUAUAGAAAGGGCUGAGUGGGUCUUAAUUUCUCUUUUACCACCAGCUUUGGGUGUUGUAUAUACUAUUUUAAAAAAAUAUUACCCCUCACAAAUCUGGUGAAGACAAACAAAAUGAAUUGCGACCGAUUCAGAAACACGAGACUGAUUCUGGGCACUUGCUCCUAAAUAACCUCCAAGUUGUUCCUCCUAGAACUUAGUUAUCCUGUCUUAAAAAAAGAUAGUAUUAAUGAGAUGCUAAAACUUUCAGUCUGUGCUAUCUUGUCACAGUGUUGGUUAAAGCUCAAUUAACUGAUGUCACAACUCCCUAAGGUGUAGUGGCUGAUUGCAUUUCGAAAAAAGCACUGCUGUAUACUUUUAAAUUCCCCCAGGUGGAUGUGCAGAUUCCAAGAGCAUGCAAACAUAGCCAGCAUUACACACCCAGUAAGUGCUCAGUUUCAAUCUAGGGUUGAGCUCUUGUGCUCUCUAUGCCUGCCUUUCUCAGAGCUUUUAGACCCACUGUGUCUAUUGGCUAAGCCAAUCCUGAGACAAGUUAGAAUGGCCACAUUGGCAUGAGAAGUCCAAACUCUUGUGUGCCUCCCCUUUGUGGGUCCCUCCCCUCUGUGGAUCCCCACAUUGGGGUUCUUCCUGAGUGCUUGAUAAGCAUAGAAACCUCUACAGGACUGGGAAGAUGGGUCAGCAAUUAAGGGUACAUGCUGCUCUGCCAGAGGACCCAAAUUCUGUUCCCAGCAUCCUCUCUGAAUCGCUUUAACUUCAGCUGCAGGGCCCCAAUGCCCUCUUCUGGCUUCCAUGAGUAUACACACAAGUGACACACAUUUCACACACACACACACACACACACACACACACACACACACAAAUAAUAAAAAUAAAAAUAAAUCUUUAAAGUGGGGAGAAACAUUGCUUUCUUGUCUCCCUAAAAGAGGCGCAAGUUCUUGCUUGAAAUCAUAGGGAAAAUGCCUACUAUGUGCUUUCCAUGGGGACGUGAGAAGGAACAAACUCAGUAGCCCAUUUGCACUCUGAGGGCUCGUUUUAACAUUCUGAAUAUGAGUAUCUUAAAGCAAGUCAUAUCCACAUUUGCUAUGUGGCAUGUUUUUCUAAUGACAUGUUCCCUUCUGGAAUUCAUUAAAACAAUAAGCUUUGCAAAUCUAAUAUAAAAUAUAGCUAGUGUAUUUAUAAAACAAAACAACAAAAAUACAUUUUCCUGAGAACAGUCUGGAAAGAGUAUUACUCUGACCAGGUCCCCAUCUAGAGUCAAAUGGAGGUCCUGACCUUAUCUGUGAGAUCUUCCACCAAUGAGCUCUGAGAGUCUGACCAGCCCGGGCCCCAGUGCCUCCCUGAGAGGGGUUCUCAGCUUACUCAGCUGUUUCCAGCUGUCGCUCAACCUGGCUAAGCGAGGCUUCUUUCUGGACAUUAAAAUUUGAAUCCUUCCAAUCCCACAUUUCCUGAAUAUAUGAUUAAUGGGAAAUAGUUUAAUUUGUUACACAAGAAAAGAAAAGGAGAAAAGGAGGAGAAGGAAAAAGUGAAGAGAUAUUGCAGGCUCUGUUAAAGCACUACAGAAAAUGGAACUAGGUCCCAGGUGGCGGCUGAGGCUCCUUGAGGACAGAGCAAGGACA